rnacentral:lncRNA from 1 species
GUUUGACGUUUACUAGUUACUAAGAAAAAGAUAAGGUGACGUCGCCGUUGUGACGUCGACCUUAGUUACAAUGUUUCUGCCGAGACGUUGCCGGUCCCGCGGUCUUCUCGACAUUCUCUGGGCCUCAAAAAAAAAUUACUAGAAAAGAAAAUUGAAAUACAAUAUAUAAAUAACAUUAAAUUAAGAUUAAAGUCUUUCAAAAUAAAAAAUUCACAGUUCUUUCACAGUUGAACUAACGUAGUUCAUAAAACAAAUUCGCAUUACAGUCCAUAUUCAUCGCGUAACACAUUUUUAAAUAAAUAUACUUCAUCACUUUAUUUCAAAAGUCCAUAAAACAAGUUUAAUGUUCUCUUUAAUCGUUGUCGUGUUUCCAUGGUAACUUUGCAUAAUCUUGGUUGUCGCGAAACUCAAUUGAAGUUCUUCUAUAUUUCUCUUUUUCGUCGUGUACUUGUUGAAAUUCUACUUCUCGAGCUUCAAUCUUCCUAAACGCUUCUAAGUUGUGCUCCUCUGUUUGAUGUGAAAUAAGUACAUUGGAAAUACUUGACACUGUUGAUAGCUGUGAUUUUUCUGAAUUUAAUGGUCCAGAAAGUAAGUACCCUAGUUCCGAUUUGACUGCAGUGGGUCCGUUUCCGCGUACAACUUUAUCUUCAACUAUUUCCCAAUAAAAAUCGGCUCCAAUUAAUAACGAAAUUUCAAAGGUAUCCUGUUGCGUAACUGGAUGUGCGAGCUAAAGAUCUUGUAGAUAGUUACUGUUCCUGUCAAUGAAACGAAUGUGGUUCUGUAAUGGCGUAGCUAUCAUAGGAACGAUUAAUGCAUGUAUUGGGAUUGUAUGUCCAGUUUCAGUUUCAACAUUAACUGUGGCUUUAUCGAGUCGCCUAGCAUUAGUGUUGGUUUCUCCAAAUGAUGAGAGUUGAAUCUUUUCGGAUCCUUCUCUCUGCAGGUUAAAUUCUCGCGCAAGACUCUCC